CGACGUAUAUAUUUUCUUAUUACACGGGUGGACGUGAAAAAUACUCGGCACAGAAGUUCCGCGUGCCCUUUGUUCGUAGUACGCUCCCAGUCAUCCUUUCUUCUCGUGUCUCUUCAUUCCUUUCUUGCCAAAUACAUGCACACGUACGUAUAUGAUACCCACCACGUGCACGUGUUGUUCAACGAGGAUGUAUAAUGGUGAGCAGAUUGUUCGACGUAAAGUUGUAUUUUCAGCUGUCGUUGGAACCAUCUCGUACAAAAGGAACAAGCGGAAUAUUUCUAAUGGGGAAAGUCCUCACUGGAGGAAAUGAAUGGAACCUUUUCUUGGAAUAAAAACGACGGUAAGAAGAACAGAUUAAGAGAGAUUCUUAUAUAUAUAUAUAAGUAUUUGUACUUCAAACGGGAGGGAUGAUCGCUUUAUACGUUCUGUAAUUUUAAUCAAACUUCGAAGGGGGAUGGAGAGAGGAGGCGCCCCUGAAGCCCCAAAGCUAAAUAAAUUCAUAAUCCACGGACAAUUAUUCACCCAAGUUUGGACAACGCCCCUCGCAAUCAAUUACUCUAGAACGAUGUGUGUACUUCUGAUUGAAUUCGUUAGACGAAUUACCCGCUUCCGGGGCAUUCCGCAGUACAGUUUAUAAAUAUAUCUAUUCUCUCUUCGGCUCAUCCGGUGUUCCAUGUUAAUGGUAAUGGUCUGUCGACUGUUUAGGUAUUUUUUACUUUUAGAGAUUAUUAAUGGAAUAGUAAAAUUCACAUCGUUAAAUUGUAUUUUAUAACUUUAAAUAAAAAUAUUCUGGAAAA